GGUUCUGCCAUCACAGGACCUAUUGGGAAGGAAUGUGCUGAUCUGUGGCCCAGGAUUGCCAGUGCAGCCAAUGCUAUUGUGUAGCGCUGAGGCUAGCUAUAUUAAUUAUGUAGUUCUUUGGCUUGAUUGUUAUGAAAAGAAUUUAAGUUGGCCGUCCCGACUGCUCCUAGAGGGAAUUUCUUUUACUACCGUUGCUUUGACCAAGGGACGGCUUGUCUUAACUGAGACUCUGCGUUCUGUGUUCCCAUCGGAAUCGCCCGUUAUAGAUAAGUUGGCAUUACAGGAUAAUGGGCUUGUGAUUGGGUGAAUGAUAUGUUUGUUGAUCCUCUAACAAGUAAUCUCCGAUUCAUUCCAGGAUAAUGGGCUUGUGUUUGGUUGAAUGAUAUGUUUGUUGAUCCUCUAACAAAUUAUCCCCGAUUCUGAUUACAUGAAUGAUAUGUUUUGAGUUGCUUUUAAAUGGAUGGAAUGCAAGUGCCCUAAUUUUUAUAUUCUCGCAAAA
rnacentral:lncRNA from 1 species